GCAGUGGUAGUUCAGUGGUAGAAUUCUCGACUUCCGUGUGGAAGACCUGGGCUCGAUUCCCAGCCAAUGUA
rnacentral:tRNA from 1 species